UGGGGAAUAUUGGACAAUGGGCGAAAGCCUGAUCCAGCCAUGCCGCGUGUGUGAAGAAGGUCUUCGGAUUGUAAAGCACUUUAAGUUGGGAGGAAGGGCAGUAAAUUAAUACUUUGCUGUUUUGACGUUACCGACAGAAUAAGCACCGGCUAACUCUGUGCCAGCAGCCGCGGUAAUACAGAGGGUGCAAGCGUUAAUCGGAAUUACUGGGCGUAAAGCGCGCGUAGGUGGUUCGUUAAGUUGGAUGUGAAAUCCCCGGGCUCAACCUGGGAACUGCAUUCAAAACUGACGAGCUAGAGUAUGGUAGAGGGUGGUGGAAUUUCCUGUGUAGCGGUGAAAUGCGUAGAUAUAGGAAGGAACACCAGUGGCGAAGGCGACCACCUGGACUGAUACUGACACUGAGGUGCGAAAGCGUGGGGAGCAAACAGG
rnacentral:rRNA from 3 species